AUUUCUGCAGUGUAGCGGUUGUCACGUUUGCCUCACAUGCAAAAGGUUCCCGGUUUGAAACCAGGUGGAAACA
rnacentral:tRNA from 1 species